GACGAACGCUGGCGGCGUGCCUAAUACAUGCAAGUCGAGCGAAGCGGCGGAUGGGUGAGUAACGCGUGGGUAACCUGCCAUUAAGUCUGGGAUACCAUUUGGAAACAGAUGCUAAUACCGGAUACUUACGGAUGGACCUGCGAUGCAUUAGCUAGUUGGUAGGGUAACGGCUUACCAAGGCGAUGAGGCAUAGCCGAGUUGAGAGGCUGAUCGGCCACAGUGGGACUGAGACACGGCCCAAACUCCUACGGGAGGCAGCAGUAGGGAAUCUUCCACAAUGGACGAAAGUCUGAUGGAGCCAUGCCGCGUGAGUGAAGAAGGUUUUCGGAUCGUAAAGCUCUGUUGUUGGUGAAGCGGUAAUCAACCAGAAAGUCACGGCUAACUACGUGCCAGCCGCCGCGGUAAUUC
rnacentral:rRNA from 1 species